rnacentral:rRNA from 1 species
CCAAUAGCGUAUAUUAAAGUUGUUGCAGUUAAAAAGCUCGUAGUUGAAUUUCGGGAUUUGUCAGUUGGUCGGGCUUAACUGUCCGUAUUGACUCGAUGGAUUCUUACCUUCUGAAUAACCAGCAUGCUAUUAAUUUAGUGCGUUGGGGAAGCAGAUCUAUUACCUUGAAAAAAUUAGAGUGCUUAAAGCGAGCUAGUGCUUGAAUAGAUUAGCAUGGAAUAAUAAAAUAGGACGGCAUGGUUCUAUUUUGUUGGUUUCUAGGAUCACCGUAAUGAUUAAUAGGGAUAGUUGGGGGCAUUAGUAUUCAAUUGUCAGAGGUGAAAUUCUUGGAUUUAUUGAAGACUAACUUCUGCGAAAGCAUUUGCCAAGGAUGUUUUCAUUAAUCAAGAACGAAAGUUAGGGGAUCGAAGACGAUCAGAUACCGUCGUAGUCAUAACCAUAAACUAUGCCGACUAGGAAUCGGACGAUGUUAAUUUUAUAAUGACUCGUUCGGCACCUUACG